ACUCUAAUAGUUUAUUAAAACAUUG
rnacentral:tRNA from 1 species